GACGAACGCUGGCGGCGUGCUUAACACAUGCAAGUCGAACGGAAAGGCCCUGCUUUUGUGGGGUGCUCGAGUGGCGAACGGGUGAGUAACACGUGAGUAACCUGCCCUUGACUUUGGGAUAACUUCAGGAAACUGUGGCUAAUACCGGAUAGGAGCUCCUGCUGCAUGGUGGGGGUUGGAAAGUUUCGGCGGUUGGGGAUGGACUCGCGGCUUAUCAGCUUGUUGGUGGGGUAGUGGCUUACCAAGGCUUUGACGGGUAGCCGGCCUGAGAGGGUGACCGGCCACAUUGGGACUGAGAUACGGACCAGACUCCUACGGGAGGCAGCAGUGGGGAAUAUUGCACAAUGGGCGGAAGCCUGAUGCAGCAACGCCGCGUGCGGGAUGACGGCCUUCGGGUUGUAAACCGCUUUCGCCUGUGACGAAGCGUGAGUGACGGUAAUGGGUAAAGAAGCACCGGCUAACUACGUG
rnacentral:rRNA from 1 species